rnacentral:misc_RNA from 1 species
GAAGACUUUGACCUGUUUAUCACUGGCGGAGGCAUGGAAUUGGAAGGGGAUGUGAGUGUUGGUCAAAGAAAUUCUGAUUUUGUUGAGGGAGUUACCAAUGGUCAAGGGGGUUCUAACGGUUCAAUUUUUGGUGAACAUCCUUAUGGUGAACACCCUUCUAGAACACUAUUUGUCAGAAACAUCAAUAGCAAUGUUGACGAUGCUGAGCUAAAGGCUCUUUUUGAGCAAUAUGGAGACAUUCGAACACUUUAUACAGCCUGCAAACAUCGUGGUUUUGUUAUGAUCUCUUACUAUGACAUUAGGACAGCUCGAAAUGCAAUGAGAUCUCUUCAGAAUAAGCCACUGAGGCGUAGGAAACUUGACAUACAUUAUUCAAUUCCAAAGGACAAUCCAUCUGAGAAAGAUAUUAA